GACUCCAGGCUGAAGUCAGCCAUUUCACGAUCUGCAAUUCACAUCCUUUUGUCUCCUCAGCAGAAGCAGCUUGUCCAAAGGAAGCAGGGCCUGCAACUUCCCAGUCCUCCCUUCAAUUACCGCAGUGCAGUCCGUGUUGACCCAAAUUUAAGCCAGGAGGGUUUGACAUCAGCAAGAGCAGCCUCAGAAAGCAGCAAUGUGGCUCUAGAAGAGGCACAUGAAUUCCUCAAACCCUUUGUUAARUAAACAAAAUAUCGAUGUUUGCGAUGCUGUAUGUCUUUGAAAAGGCUGCACUGAAAAACCAGCAGUCUCAAUUACACUUUGGAAGGCUUCCCGUCAGACCUACUUAUGUCUGUCUCCAAGUUCAAAGUGUCGGAUCACGUUGAGGUUUUCUGAGCAGCAAGCAGGGCUUGGAAUGUCACCGAAAGAAAACAAAACCGAGUUCUGUGGAAAAUGGUGAAUAAGUCAGUAGCUGUGCAUUUUGGGAAAGCUUUCAUAAGUGAAAGAAGAAGGAGAAACUAGUCAGCUAAAGGAAUCUUAUGCUGUAGGGAGAUGGAAUUUCUUGAGGCAGGCAUGCUGCUGAUGCUGGUUUGAGGAUCAAGUGGAAAUGUGUGCAGGUGCUGCCUGUGUCUGAUGUCCCCAGACCGUGGGCUGAUGCACUGCAUUCCCUGUGCUGAUGGCUUUGCUAAUCUGGGUGCAGUCUACACUGUGAWUUUGCCAAGAAAGKUUGGACCAGAUGAUCCUUMAAAUCCCUUCCUGGUGUUCCAUGACUGGAACAUUAACCAUUGGUCUGAGUCGUCACUUUCCACUGUAACUGUGAACUCCAUCAGCAGUAACCAUGGGUACAGCUUUGKGACAUGGUGACAGAUCUAACAGAURCAAAGACUUUGAAGCUGGGAUUAGGAAUGUGAAAGCAUCCCAAAAAACUAGUCAUACAUGAACAUGGAUCAAAGCCUAGAAUGGAACAAAAUGUGUGUCUCUCAAGGUUGGAUUUCCA